rnacentral:rRNA from 1 species
GAUGAACGCUAGCUACAGGCUUAACACAUGCAAGUCGAGGGGCAGCAUUGGAGUAGCAAUACUUCAGAUGGCGACCGGCGCACGGGUGAGUAACACGUAUCCAACCUGCCGCUUACUCGGGGAUAGCCUUUCGAAAGAAAGAUUAAUACCCGAUGGUAUAAAGAGUUCGCAUGUUCUCUUUAUUAAAGAAUUUCGGUAAGCGAUGGGGAUGCGUUCCAUUAGAUAGUUGGCGGGGUAACGGCCCACCAAGUCUACGAUGGAUAGGGGUUCUGAGAGGAAGGUCCCCCACAUUGGAACUGAGACACGGUCCAAACUCCUACGGGAGGCAGCAGUGAGGAAUAUUGGUCAAUGGACGAGAGUCUGAACCAGCCAAGUAGCGUGAAGGAUGACUGCCCUAUGGGUUGUAAACUUCUUUUAUAAGGGAAUAAAGUGAGGGACGUGUCCCUUUUUGUAUGUACCUUAUGAAUAAGGAUCGGCUAACUCCGUGCCAGCAGCCGCGGUAAUACGGAGGAUCCAAGCGUUAUCCGGAUUUAUUGGGUUUAAAGGGAGCGUAGGUUGACAUAUAAGUCAGCUGUGAAAGUUUACGGCUCAACCGUGAAAUUGCAGUUGAUACUGUAUGUCUUGAGUGUACAAGGGGUGGGCGGAAUUCGUGGUGUAGCGGUGAAAUGCUUAGAUAUCACGAAGAACUCCAAUUGCGAAGGCAGCUCACUGGGGUACAACUGACACUGAGGCUCGAAAGUGUGGGUAUCAAACAGGAUUAGAUACCCUGGUAGUCCACACAGUAAACGAUGAAUACUCGCUGUUUGCGAUAUACAGUAAGCGGCCAAGCGAAAGCAUUAAGUAUUCCACCUGGG